AUUAUCACUGCCAUGUAGUUUUAUGGUAGUAAUUAGUGGAGGAAAAAAAUUGAAGAGAGAAGAGGUUUCUCAACUAUUUUGUUUGAAAAGGCUUCCUUUUCAGACAUCUUGUGUUACAAGGGUGGCUAUUCUGUUAGGAUCAGAGUUUGGUGAAGGGCUAUAGGAAGUUGCUGGCGCUUCUUUUGAAGUGGGAGCUUGGGAGGUGAGGCACAGAAGUCAAUACACAAAGUGAUUGGAAGUUAGGAUCUUCUUGGGUUUGUGUUUUCAGACAUGGGUUUUGUGUUUCUUUGAGAAAUGGAAGAUGAAAGGAAGACAACAGAGAAGGGACUUCAAACCCUUGGCUUUGAUACCAUGAAUGAGGAAAAGAAAGGAGAACUUGGAAUAAAUUAGCUUGAUUAUUCUCUCAAGCUGUUGGGGGAUAUAUACAAUUACAAAAUCAUUAAUUAGGAACUAUAGGAAAAACUAAUUAGGAAAACACAAUUGAGGCACUAUUUAGGCAUUACAAUUACUCUAUAUAAUUUCCUAAUCUAAGGCAUAAUUACAGUAUCUCAACAUUAACAAUAAUCUUGUAAAAAGUAUACAUCAUAAAAACUAAAAAAAAAAAAUUAUUAUUUGACUUGGCGUUCAUAGGCUUAGGGAUUAUGCUAGUUAAGUGUAAUUCACGUAUUGUGAACUGAAUUGACAUGAUUUACAUACCACGUUCCAAAUUGACGUACGAACAAAG
rnacentral:misc_RNA from 1 species